rnacentral:rRNA from 1 species
GACAGAGGCCCCAAGCGUUAGGCGGAAUCACUGGGCUUAAAGCGUGUGUAGGCGGACGCCUAAGUGUCUUGUGAAAUCCCACGGCUCAACCGUGGAACGGCUGGGUAUACUGCCUGUCUUGAGCCAACUAGGGGCGAGCGGAACAGACGGUGGAGCGGUGAAAUGCGUAGAUAUCGUCUGGAACGCCGAAGGUGAAAACAGCUCGCUGGGGUUGUGCUGACGCUGAGACACGAAAGCCAGGGGAGCGAACGGG